GACGAACGCUGGCGGCGUGCUUAACACAUGCAAGUCGAACGGAAAGGCCCUGCUUUUGUGGGGUGCUCGAGUGGCGAACGGGUGAGUAACACGUGAGUAACCUGCCCUUGACUUUGGGAUAACUUCAGGAAACUGGGGCUAAUACCGGAUAGGAGCUCCUGCUGCAUGGUGGGGGUUGGAAAGUUUCGGCGGUUGGGGAUGGACUCGCGGCUUAUCAGCUUGUUGGUGGGGUAGUGGCUUACCAAGGCUUUGACGGGUAGCCGGCCUGAGAGGGUGACCGGCGACAUUGGGACUGAGGUAGGGCCCAGACUCCAACGGGAGGCAGCGGUGGGGAAUAUUGCACAAUGGGCGGAAGCCUGAUGCAGCAACGCCGCGUGCGGGAUGACGGCCUUCGGGUUGUAAACCGCUUUCGCCUGUGACGAAGCGUGAGUGACGGUAAUGGGUAAAGAAGCACCGGCUAACUACGUG
rnacentral:rRNA from 1 species